UCUCCUUUUACUUUGGGUCCUUUCAAAUCCAGGUCAACAUCAGGUAUGGAGAUCUUGGGAGCUUUGAUAUUUAUUUCAGGCAUCUUGAACUUGGGGCCCUUUAGUUUCGCAUCUGGACCUUCGAUAUUCACAUCAGGAACAUCAACGUCCACUUUGGGUCCUGAGACAUCAAUGUCAGCCUUGGGCAGGUUCACAUCCACAUCUGGGCCCUCUCCUUUGAAGCCAGGCAUGCUGAACUUGGGCAUUUUCACCUUGGGCAUCUUCAGGUGCCAGUCUGGGCCUUGAACAUCAACAUCUGGAGCAUCAAUGUCCACCUUGGGUCCUGAGACAUCAAGGUCAGCCUUGGGCAGGUUCACAUCCACAUCUGGGCCCUCUCCUUUGAAGCCAGGCAUGCUGAAUUUGGGCAUUUUCACUUUGGGCAUUUUUAGGUGCCAGUCUGGGCCUUGAACCUCCACAUCUGGGACAUCAAUGUCCAUUUUGGCACUUUUAAGUUCAACAUCAGGAACUUUAAUCUCACUUUCAACCU
rnacentral:lncRNA from 1 species